rnacentral:lncRNA from 1 species
CUAAGCUUCCCUCCCCGAUUCUCUUAGUGUACUUCAGAUUCCACUUCCCUUUAAGCUGAACAAUCCAGCUUCAUUUCACAGCUAAACAUUCUGGGUGUUGUGUGGUGGUGCUGAUGCUGCUGAGGGUGUAAUGGGAUUUUGACAGCAGCCCAGAGAUGUACUCUAAACUUUUAUCUGUGCUUCAGAGCCAGCCUACCAUGGAAUGAAUCUUCUGAAAAUAUGAGUCAAAUGAAACUUUUCCUCCUUUAAGUUGUGGCAAGUUUUGUGUCACAGCGAUAGAAAAGCUGACGAAUACUAUAAGUUCGAAUAUGCAAAAAAAAAAAAAAGUUUUCCAGAUGGAGAAUGGAAC